CGCCGUUCAGUUGGCCGACGUUCACCGCGUCGGUGUUCGCGACACCGGCCGCGACGUUGUGCAGCGUCGUGCCGUUCGUACCGGCGAACGUCACC
rnacentral:tRNA from 1 species